rnacentral:lncRNA from 1 species
AUUUUAAGGAAAUAAAAAUCAUGGCCAAAAUUUGAAAUUCAAAUUUUCUGCGGAAACCGAAGGGUUGCAGUCACUCGCCGCCUGCCCCUGACACGCUUGCGUCAUUUCUCUGCGUAAGCCCUUUCCCAGACCGUUCCAAUCCCUAGCUCUCCACCUACACACUUUGCAACGCAAAGUGGGCUCGGAUCAACCUCUGGGCCUCUUCCAAAUUAUCUCGGCCCGACUUCCCUGCAAGUUAGUGCAUCCAAACACAAAACAAAACAACUUAAAAGAAAAGAAAAGAAAAUUCGGUAUAGACCAUACCGAAGUAACCACGCUGGGUUGCCUCCCAGCAAGCGCUCUUGUUUCCCGUCUUGAGCUCGACCUCCCUUCACUCUUCACUCGUACUCAG